GAUGAAGAACACAGCGAAAUGCGAUACGUAAUGUGAAUUGCAGAAUUCAGUGAAUCAUCGAAUCUUUGAACGCACAUUGCGCCUGCCAGCACUCUGGCAGGCAUGCCUGUUCGAGCGUCAUUUCAACCAUCAAGCCCUAGGCUUGCGUUGGAGCCCUGCGGCUGCCGCAGGCCCCUAAAAGCAGUGGCGGGCUCGCUAUCACACCGAGUGCAGUAGAUUACUCUUCGCUCAGGGCGUGUGGCGGGUUCCAGCCGUGAAACCCCCUACUUCUCAAGGUUGACCUCGGAUCAGGUAGGAAUACCCGCUGAACUUAAGCAUAUCAAUAAGCGGAGGA
rnacentral:misc_RNA from 1 species